UCUAUCUGUGCAAGGUUGUUUGCGUUGGCACACACUGGGCGCACUUGGCAGCAGAAAUAACCACAGAAAUAACUUCUGAAGUUACAGCUUCAGAAGACACACUUGGGAAUUAGCUCAAAACCAAUGGAUGCAAAAAUAUAAGGUAUUUUGUUUGCUUCUUUUGUUUGUUUGUUUUUUGAAACUUGAAGAGAACUUAAUGAGACUGCACUUAAUCAUGUGACUUGCUUAAUCAAGUCAUGAACUCAUGCAGAACUGAUGUCUCUAUGAUUUUGCCAGCUUCCUGCUGCUCCCUACUUCCCUAAAACACCUUUUAAUGACAGAAGAUCAGAAACAGCAAAGCUGAAGAAUUUCUACCAGUUUCACCAGAAAAAACUGCCUUGUGGAGGAGAGAAUCCCAAAGUAUUGCCUUCCUUCCCUAAAGGAGAAGUUCUACUGUGAACUUAGAGAGAACAUCAGAACUGUUAAAUUUUGCUCCUAGUAGAGCUAUUCAUUUCUUCCUAAAGUCAUAUUUUUGAGGUUGAUUCCAAUGGAAGAAGAAUCUUUCUCAAAGUGGAAUAGGCCGGCUGCAAACUAGGCUCACUGACAGCUUUGCUUAUUUUAUGGACAUAUUAGACCAAGCUAAGCCUUUGCCAUCUGCUCUGCAUCCAAUUGUAAAUGGAAAAAUCUCACACCAACCAAACAAAAAGAACAAAUCACAAGAACAUCAAGGAGAUAAAAGUGAUUUAACUGCCUGUAUAUACUCCAUCAACAAUGCAGCUUGCUCUGAAGAUGUUCUUUCUCAUGAUUCUGACACAAAUCACAAGGAAAACAGUUCACACAAAACACGGAAGAGCCUUUAAGAAGCAAGGAAGGAAGGAAAAGAUUACAGGCAUUGCUGCUGCCCUCCUCAGAGAGUGUAUGUACAUACACUGAAGCAUCCAACAAUUGCAUGGAAUAUAUGAGAAAAUAUAUCUUCAAUGAAGUCAGAAAGUCUUGUCUCAUAUUUCUUCCCUGCCAUGGAUCUGAAGAUUUUACAUUUGCUUCAACUGUUCUUCACAGAAUAAAUGCUGUGAGGCUGUACUGAAAAGAAA